UCAUACAUCCGGAUUCCCCGCGUCACGGGAUCACGAUAGCCCCUAUUCGCUCCCACGCGUUUUCCAGUCACAUCCGCCUUCACCUUCGUUCUCGGGGGACCCAGAGCUCACUGGGGAAGGCAGCCCGAGCCCCGACCAGCUGGGAAACCCAGAGAAGUACCUUGAUUACACAUGGGAUGAAAUGAAGGGCCUUGAGAAAGGAGAUGACUCUGAACUACCUGGGGCCUGGGAUCACCACAAGGUCCUCACAAUGUUGCUUGAAGGCAUGAACCUGCAUCCCAGUGAUGCCUGAACCCAGACCAGACUCCGAGCCCCAACUGUGGUGUCUUCUUCUACAUACUUGGACUUGAGUGUGGUGAGUAAACUGCCCUCCAGCACGGAGCAAGAGGACAUCUUCAUGAGUAUAGUGCCUGCAAAGGCCAGAAGAAGGGAUCAGAUCCCCUUGAGCUGGAGUCACAGAUUAGAUAUGGGGUCUUCUCUAUGCCCAGGCUGGUCUUGAGCUCCCGAGAACAGCUGGAACAACAGGUUGUGCCCCACACUGGACUCGCAGUACAAUACUAAUUGUCAUUGUGACAGGAUUGAGAGGAGGGACUCUAAGAGAUGAUUUCCAGAAGGACUCUGCCCUCAUGAAUGGAUUACUGCAACUCAGUUGCUGAAUAAAAUUUCAUUGUGUGCAUGUCCACCUAUUGAUGGACACCUAAGAUGAUUCUGUAUGGUGAACAGAGCAGCAGUGAACAUGGGUAUGAAAUAUCUCUGUGUCAAGAUAUCAAGUCCUUUGGGUACACACCCAUGAAUAGUAUAGCUGGAUCAUAUGGUUAGUUCCAUUCCUGGCUUCUGUAGUAUCCCUAAUAUUGAAUUCCAUAAUGGUCAUAUCAGUUUACACACCCAUCAGUAGCAAAUAAAGAUCAAAGAUGAGACUCUUUAAAAGACAUUUGUGCCAGGAGGACUCUGCUCUUUUGGAUGUGUUUGUGUAAAAGUGGGUCCCUGAUUAAAUUCAGUGAGUCACAAAACAAAAAGAAAAAAAUAUCCAAGUGGGAGGGGGCCUUAGAGGAAAAGUAGCUCAACAAGGGUGGAGGAGGGGAUAAGAGACUGGAACUGCAUGUGGUAAGAAUGUAUUGUAUAUAACUAUGAAAUUGUCAAAAAUAAAUUUAAUUUAAAAAAUCUAACAAUGCAGUAGUGGGAAGAAUACCUUAGCAGUAACCAACAGCUCCAUAGUUGGAUUUAAGACCCACUCAAAAAGAGGGAGUCCAUGUCUGGGACUGGAAACUUAGCCAAAUACCCAGAGCUAGGGAAGUCAUGGCCCACUUUACUAAACCAACAUAAUUCUGAACUACAUUCUAAAAAUUUAUCUUUAUACUCAUAGAUAAGUGUAGUCUUCACCCUUUAUCCAGGAAACUUCUCUUUGAAACAGACAGAGAACAUUACAGAAAUCCAUAACCAAUCAAAAUGCAGAGUUGUGGAGCCCAGCCCCAUUGGAUACAUCUACAAUACAACUCCCAUAUCAAAGGAUCAGGGAACAUUGCAGAAACAUUGUAAAAGCCAGAUAAGCAGGGAGUUUACUGUGAGAUUAUAUUUCCUAGUAAUGUUCAAGUUACACCCACAAAGUUUCACCAACAUGACUGCAUACACAUGAGCUGAACAAGGAUGACACGAUUAUUGCAGAAGCCCAAGAGGCCUCAACCCUACACAAAUAACUACAGCAGCUAAGGAAAGCUGAGCACAGGAGAAAUAGUCUGCCCUUGGGAAGAACACACCAACUGAUUAUCCAGUAUUAAAUGAUCAGCCCUAAAAACAUUUGCAGACAAGUAACAUUGUAUAAACUAGGCAUGGUGGGGCAAGCCUUUCAUCCCAGCACCCCAGAGGGAGAGGCAUGAGGAGCUCUGUAAACAUGGAGUAACAAUAGUACAGUCUAUAUGUAGAUUAUUUCUAAUUAUUUCUCUCAUAAUUGCCAUUGAUUGAUUUUGCUCAAUGUUAAUAAUUCUUAAUCAGAAAACAAUGACAUAAUAAAUCACCUUUGCAAGUGUGACAAAAUCAGAAAUGGAGAGGUGUUAAUGAAAUGCAAAAAUUAUUUUUUAUGAAUGUAUUAAAUAAACAUUUUUAUUAUUUGUAAUAAUAUUUUUAGGAAAAAAAUCAGACUUACACAAAUCUUCAUACAUUGAAAUUAAGAAUGACUGUUUAUGUUAUAAGUGAGCAUAAAUACUUCAAAUUAAUGACCUGUGUGAAAAACUUAAGUAGAUGAAUAAAUAUAAGAAAUAUAUAUGUCAAAAAAAAAAGUAAGUGGAGAGCAAUUGAUGAAGACAUCCAACAUGGACUUCUGGUCUCCCCAUGCACAUGUGUGCAUGUGUGUGCAUUGUGAAUUGGCUAAUACCUUUCAUUUUGAGAAUUAUCCUUUCAAUUAUAACUGCAUCUCAUUAACUAUAACAGAGAAUGGGUUCAUUGUUCUAACUUGUAUUUUUUGAAAUUCA